GUGUACACGGACACUGCGAUUCCUGCGCGCCGUCCACUCCCGCCUAACGACCGCUCGCUACGUGGUGUUCGCC
rnacentral:sRNA from 1 species